rnacentral:rRNA from 1 species
UACGAAGGGGGGCUAGCGUUGUUCGGAAUUACUGGGCGUAAAGCGCGCGUAGGCGGUGAUCUUUGUCAGAGGUGAAAGCCUGGGGCUCAACUCCAGAAUUGCCUUUGAAACGGGAUCGCUUGAGUCCGAGAGAGGAUGGCGGAAUUCCUAGUGUAGAGGUGAAAUUCGUAGAUAUUAGGAAGAACACCGGUGGCGAAGGCGGCCAUCUGGCUCGGUACUGACGCUCAGGCGCGAAAGCGUGGGGAGCAAACAGGG